rnacentral:rRNA from 1 species
GCGCAGCAGGCGAGAAUUUUUCUCAAUGGGGGGCAACCCUGAAGGAGCGACGCCGCGUGGAGGAUGAAGGCUUUCGGGUUGUAAACUCCUGUCAUUUGAGAACAAGUGUAGCCAAGUAACUACUGGCUACUUGAUAGUAUCAGAAGAGGAAGGGACGGCUAACUCUGUGCCAGCAGCCGCGGUAAUACAGAGGUCCCGAGCGUUGUUCGGAUUCAUUGGGCGUAAAGGGUGCGUAGGUGGCGUGGUAAGUCGGGUGUGAAAUUUCGGAGCUUAACUUCGAAACUGCAUUCGAUACUGCCGUGCUUGAGGACUGGAGAGGAGACUGGAAUUUACGGUGUAGCAGUGAAAUGCGUAGAGAUCGUAAGGAAGACCAGUGGCGAAGGCGGGUCUCUGGACAGUUCCUGACACUGAGGCACGAAGGCUAGGGGAGCAAACGGGAUUAGAUACCCGCGUAG